UACGUAGGGUGCAAGCGUUGUCCGGAAUUAUUGGGCGUAAAGAGCUCGUAGGCGGUCUGUCGCGUCGGCUGUGAAAACCUGGGCUCAACUCCGGGCCUGCAGCCGAUACGGCAGACUAGAAUUCGGUAGGGGAGACUGGAAUUCCUGGUGUAGCGGUGAAAUGCGCAGAUAUCAGGAGGAACACCGGUGGCGAAGGCGGGUCUCUGGGCCGAUAUUGACGCUGAGGAGCGAAAGCGUGGGGAGCGAACAGG
rnacentral:rRNA from 1 species